UACGAAGGGGGCUAGCGUUGCUCGGAAUCACUGGCGUAAAGGGGUGCGUAGGCGGGUCUUUAAGUCAGAGGUGAAAUCCUGGAGCUCAACUCCAGAACUGCCUUUGAUACUGAGGAUCUUGAGUUCGGGAGAGGUGAGUGGAACUGCGAGUGUAGAGGUGAAAUUCGUAGAUAUUCGCAAGAACACCAGUGGCGAAGGCGGCUCACUGGCCCGAUACUGACGCUGAGGCACGAAAGCGUGGGGAGCAAACAGG
rnacentral:rRNA from 1 species